GAUAAGAACGCAGCGAAAUGCGAUACUUGGUGUGAAUUGCAGAAUCCCGUGAACCAUCGAGUCUUUGAACGCAAGUUGCGCCCGAAGCCACUAGGCCGAGGGCACGCCUGCCUGGGCGUCACACGCCGUUGCCCCCCCAUCUACUCCUUCGGGAUUGCGGGGGGGCGGAUGAUGGCCUCCUGUGCGCCUAGCCGCGCGGUUGGCAUAAAUACCAAGUCCUCGGCGACGCACGCCACGACAAUCGGUGGUUGCGAAACCUCGGUUGCCCGUCGUGUGCGUUCGUCGCGCAUCGAGGGCUCGAAAAAAUGCUCGGCUCCGGCUGGGCUUUCAACGCGACCCCAGGUCAGGCGGGGUUACCCGCUGAAUUUAAGCAUAUCAAUAAGCGGAGGA
rnacentral:misc_RNA from 1 species